rnacentral:rRNA from 1 species
GAUGAACGCUAGCUACAGGCUUAACACAUGCAAGUCGAGGGGUAACAAGAGAAGAGCUUGCUUUUCUUGUUGACGACCGGCGCACGGGUGAGUAACGCGUAUCCAACCUGCCUAUAACUAGGGAAUAACCUUGCGAAAGUAAGACUAAUACCCUAUGAUUUCCUUUGAUGACAUCAGAUUAGGAAUAAAGAUUUAUCGGUUAUAGAUGGGGAUGCGUCUGAUUAGCUUGUUGGCGGGGUAACGGCCCACCAAGGCAACGAUCAGUAGGGGUUCUGAGAGGAAGGUCCCCCACAUUGGAACUGAGACACGGUCCAAAAUCCUACGGGAGGCAGCAGUGAGGAAUAUUGGUCAAUGGGCGGAAGCCUGAACCAGCCAAGUAGCGUGCAGGAUGACGGCCCUAUGGGUUGUAAACUGCUUUUAUACAGGGAUAAAGUUAGCCACGUGUGGUUAUUUGUAGGUACUGUAUGAAUAAGGACCGGCUAAUUCCGUGCCAGCAGCCGCGGUAA